UACGUAGGGGGCUAGCGUUGUCCGGAAUCAUUGGGCGUAAAGAGCUCGUAGGCGGCUCAUUGCGUCAACCGUGAAAACCUGCCGCUCAACGGUAGGCUUGCGGUUGAUACGGGUGGGCUGGAGUUCGGUAGGGGAGACUGGAAUUCCUGGUGUAGCGGUGAAAUGCGCAGAUAUCAGGAGGAACACCGGUGGCGAAGGCGGAUCUCUGGGCCAUUACUGACGCUGAGGAGCGAAAGCGUGGGGAGCGAACAGG
rnacentral:rRNA from 1 species